UCUGGAGAUCCCUCCUCUGUGGAGUCUUUCCUGUGAACCUAGAUCUUCAGAUACAGGUGACAUGGCAGUCACAUGCCUGAUUGUUGGGAAGGUGUCUCCAGGCCACUGCUUCUGGAGACUUCCACUGCCCCUGCUACAGGACAGAGG